rnacentral:rRNA from 1 species
AACGAGCGCAACCCCUGUCACUAGUUGCCAUCAUUAAGUUGGGGACCCUAGUGAGACUGCCUGCGCAAGCAGAGAGGAAGGUGGGGAUGACGUCAAAUCAUCACGGCCCUUACGUCUUGGGCCACACACGUAAUACAAUGGCCGGUACAGAGGGCAGCUACUAUGUGAAUAGAUGCGAAUCUCGAAAGCCGGUCUCAGUUCGGAUUGGAGUCUGCAACUCGACUCUAUGAAGCUGGAAUCGCUAGUAAUCGCGCAUCAGCCAUGGCGCGGUGAAUACGUUCCCGGGCCUUGUACACACCGCCCGUCAAGCCAUGGAAGUUCGGGGUACCUGAAGUCGGUGACCGUAAAAGGAGCUGCCUAGUUAACCAAUUUUUUGA